AGAAAGGGGGUUCCCCACACACAUAUAUAUAUAUAUAUAUAUAUAUAUAUAUAUAUAUGUGUGUGGGGACCCCCCUUUCU